rnacentral:lncRNA from 1 species
CUUUCUUUUUCAUGCACCUACUGACUUAGUUGAAUUCUCACAAUGACAAUAAAGGAAGUAAUCAUCUAAUAACAGCUACCAUCCAUGACACGUCUGCCAAUGCCAGCUCUUCAACCUGAAUGAUUUCAAUAGAUAGUACUGCUCCUAUGGGUAAUACACUUUUAAGAGUGGGAACUGAAGUUCUUGGAAAUGAAGGCUUGGUUUCCAGAUUUCCAAGAAUACAGCCAGCUACUCUGGUAACCAAUUUGUGCCAACAUGUUGAUUAAUGGAUACAAAUGUGCAAAUCACACCAACCUUUCUUCUCUCCUGGGUGAUCUGUAUGUUUUAGCUGUGAGAUGCCUUCUGGAGCUGUAAGGCUUGAUGCAAUGGAAAUAGCCAUUGUGGAACCCAACCGAGAACUCUUUGGUAGCACCCGCAUAUCACACUAAAUAGGCAACCACUUGUUGCAACUAACACUUAGUCAGCUUCUUUUGCCAGAUGGUGAAAGCCGUAGAUAAAAGAACCCAGAAAUCCAACCCAAACUAGUUACUGAAAGGGCCCGGAUAAAACUUGGCUCCACAGAUGCUCAUGAGCUGGGAAAUGGCAGGCAAACAUGCAGUGAGUUAUGGAAGUCAUGCAACAGCCCUGGCCUUCUCUGAGAUUCAUUUUUUUGCAGAAAGGAUAUAGUAACAGCUAAAUUGGGUCAGAUCUGCUGCAGUGGCUGGAAUAAAAUAACAAAGACAAAAGCUUGCUGUGCAAAGAAUUAUAGGACACAUGAAACCCCAUGAGACUAUCUAUGCUAUUAUUCACCAAGGCGAGCCUUAGAUGUACCCGGAGAGACGUCUGCCUUCACCACAAUUCUGGGUUUCAAGAUAAUGAUGUUGGAUGUUCCAGCCUCAGAACUGUGGUGAAAACUCCUAACAUCAUACCAGUGUCUUUGCAUAUCCCUGGCUAUUGGGUUGGUGAUAAAAUAAAGGGAGCACUCUAUACCUGCUCCAAAC